rnacentral:misc_RNA from 1 species
CAAUAAGUGUUCAAUGGCACUUUAAAAUCCAUUACCCACCUUGUGUGCAAUGUAAGGGAGAGAGUCCUUUUGGGGGACCCUCUUUCAUUAUACAUACCAAAUCUUCUCUUGUUGUCUACUUUUUGAGUACAAAAAACUCGAAUA